GAUAGAAAAAUAAAGUAAUUCAUCAGGCACCUUAAAUUAUUUAAAAGUUUAAUUCCAGUGUUGUUAUCAACUCCAACUUCAAAUCUUGAAGUAUAUUUGCUGCCCCACGCUGCCUACUAGAGACAUUAUUAACAAAAUGUACUUGAGGCAGAAAGAAAAUUAUCCAAAGAACAUAUUAUAAAGUAAGAAAAUAGAAAACAAAUGGGUAAAUCUAAUAAAAUCCAAUGAAAACAAAUUAGAUAUUUAAAUUCAUUAAUUAAAAAAGAAUGCUGAAUAGUAGUAUAUGGUUUGAGAGAUAAAUGGGAAUCAAACUAAUCAGUUCCUUGUGUGAUUUGAAAGGAGGUGUGAAGUACUGACUGUGCACAUUGUUAAGCAUAAUACACGUAGGCUCAGAUUUAUUGCCCCAAAGAAACUUCAGAUUAUUUGCAUUAGAAAUAAUUUUUGGCAGUAUUUCUGAUGAUUAUAUUAAUGAACAAAAUUUAAUUAAGUUAUUAUCCAAUAAAGUAUUUAGGAUAAUUAUAUUAAAUAUAAGUUACAAUAUAUUAAAAGAAUAAAACUAAGUCAUUAAGGUAAAAAAAUGUGAAAGAUAGAAAUACAAGAAACAUCACUGAAAGGAAAUACAGCUACAUAGAGAUAUGUACAGGACAGUGAAUUCAAUGUCAUAAAUAUAUUGACACCUUUCCAAAUAAUAGAUUAAUUCAAUUUAUGUGAAGGAAAAUAAGGUCAAGGGAAGGUAAAUGACCCCCCCAACUUCCCAGAAGAAACAGAGAGCAAGGGACCCUGCAUGAGUACUGGGACACUCAGUUGAAAGCUAUGACCAUUAAGUUAGCAUCAUAUGUGUUUGCAGAAAGAAAACAGAGCCCAGAGAGCUGAGAAAUACAAAUAUAUAAAGCCUGCAUUGGUUUUCAUAUCUGCAGGGAAAGAAAAGAUUAUUCAGUCUGUUAACUGAUGUAUUCAUUGGCCAUGAGGCAGAAAAAGGAAACCUAAAAGUCUCUAUAAACCACACAUAAAAUCUUUUCCUUCUAAAUUAUAGUGGAAGGAAAAACAGUAACAUUAUUAAAAUACAUUUUGGGAGAUUUUCAUGACCUCAGAAUAGGAAGUUAUCCUUUAUAAAAAAAAUCAUAUUCUGUAAAAGGAAAACUGAAAACUUCCACCAAAUUUAAAUAACAACCUCUAUUCACCAAACUCCAUAAAAGAGAGUGAAAAUACCACCACAGAGCAGUGGGUGAUUUUAAAAAUAAAUGUAAAUGACUAAAUGUUAGAGCCCAGAAAUGCAAACUAUGAAGAACUCAGCAGAAAAGAACCCAGUGGGCAUUUCUCAGAAGAGGAACAGCAACAGCCAAUAAAUUCAUGAAAAUAUAACACAUCUCUUUAGUAAUAGAAAAAUGCAAAUGAAAAUCACAAUACAAUUUGAUUUCGUAUUUGAUUAGUUGGCAAGGAUGUGCAGUAAUAAAGACUAUAAUAAUACAGUAUGUACUUUAGGGUAUAAGUAUAAUUUAUUUCAAAAAGUUGAACAUUUUUACUUCCUAUGACUCAGCAUCAGCCAGAAGGCAAAAGGACUUUACAUAGGAAAACUGAGAGCCUGUCCCAAUACUUACACAAAUCUAAAUGGGUUUUAAAAUUCUGUUAUAUUCAUCAGAGGAGAUGAACGAGUUACUGUAACAUGCCUCAACAUGAUUCAAUUCUAAAAUUAAGAAUGUGAAGGUCAGGGAUUUAGCUCAGUGGUUCUGCCAUUUGCCUUGAAAGUUCAAGGUCCCGAGUUUGAUCUCCGGUACCAAAAAAAAAAAAAGUUAAUCAAGCCCAUUAAAAUAAUCCAAAUGCUUAUAAAAAAGAAUAUGAAAAUACUAAGUCUCUUUUUAUAAGAUUCAAACAAUUGUUUGUGUAUCAGUAAUUACCUAUAUAUGUAAAAGCAAAAACAGAACUAGGUGGUGAUUAUCAUUCAAUUCAGGAUAUUAUAUUUGAGGGAAAUAACAGGAAAUACAAAUGCAAAGGGAUGCAAAGUGGGUUUUAGAUUUGUAAUGUUACAUUUUUAAAUCUGUGUGUUUUAUGUGCAUUUUAUGAGUACUAAGUGCUUUAAUUUAUAUACCUACAUUACAAAGCUUUAUAUGUACGAAACUUUUCAUAGUAAUAAAGAAUCACGAAAGCAACUAAGCUAAUGAGACUAUUACAUUUUUAAUUUUUGGAAAAUUGCCUUUGAUUAUAUAUUACUUUUAUACUAAAUGCAGAGAAACUGACUCAUUUAUAUGAGUUUUUUCUCAGUACAAAGGCCCUGGGUUCAAUCCCCAGUACUGAAAAGACAAAAAUAAAAAUAGGUCCAGGGUUUCUCCAAGCAGGAAGUGAGGGAUGGGGUGGGGGCAGAUGGAGCAGGAAAUCAUGCUUAUCCGUGAAGGGCCAGUCCCAGAGUGAAAGCAGAAGCAAACCAACAAAAAUACCUCUCGGCCUGUCACAGGUGCCAGUCAGCAAGGUCCCUUACAUCUGUUUCACUCAGAUCCCGCUCUCGCCUAAAGGUAAUGCGCUUCCGAAAUCACAGCCUGCGCCGCCAGGAUCGGCUCAGUCUCUGCUCUGAUGAACAGCCUGGGGUGCAGAUGGGUGACACUUGAAGCCCUUGGAAAGAGACUGCGAAGAAGAUCCACAUCAUGGUGGUCAGAGGACUAGGAGUUCUGAAUCACAAACACCAUUAGCUCUGUACUACAAAGGUCUUCGUGCAGUGGGACCACCCACCUUAGAGAUCUGCCCCAAUGGCUUGGCAAAAAUAUCCUUCUAGUCUCCAAAUUUAGUUGACUUAAUUUGCCUACUUGGGAAAAUCUGUUACAGUCCAUUUCUACAGUAGAAGGUCAAUGGUAUGAAGAGCUACAACAUUUAAUGGCUGGCAUGGCUUAGGCACCAAAUCGGAUUUGAACCUGACCAGCCAGAAUGGAUGCCAACUGCUGAUUCGGACUUGGGUGGAUCAGCAGAAUAGACCAGUGGUGGGCAUCAGUUCCUAUUUUGACUUGUUUUAAUUCUGCAAAGGCAUAAAUCCUGCUUCUGUUUAAUCAAAGACAUUGCUAUAUGUGGCCACCAGAAAUUACAGCAUGGGCUAAAUUAUACCAAAAGGCAUCGGCUUUUAUUUUCAAAUAGUUCACAACCUAGUACUUGUGCACCAGAGAAAGAAUUAAAGGCAAAAUUUUUCUUGUUCUCUAUGUUACACAAUCCUUGAUUCCUACAUAAGAUUCUUCCUCCCCUACACUAAGAAUAGAAAAGACAAGGAAGGUCUCAGGCUUAUUUGUAGAUGUUGAGAAGAAGAAAGAGAGAUCACUCUAAAGAACAAAUGGCUCAUAUUGCAUCACCCGAAGCCUUCUAUCAGCUCUCCAUUCUGUUGGUGUCCAUGCAGCGUAAGGUCAUAUGCAUGAAUCAGAGAUAGAAAAUAACAGAACCUAAAAUGUACUAACUGAGCCCGGAGGAAAUUUCAAUGCCUAUGGUAUAUGCAGCAAGCAGCCAUCUCCAUAACGCACAGAGAGGAAAACUAUUCUCUUGCUUUAAUGAAAUGUUCCACACCCAUGGAACUGAAGAUUGGCAACCUGAUCUCAUUCACGAGACUUUAAGGGGUACCGACAGAUUUGCCAGUGGAUUUCUACUUUCCUCAUUAUGACUAGAAGGACGGCUCUGAGUCUGCAUUAGAUGACAGCAUGGGCUGGAAUGCCGAUGGGCUGUGUGAGACAGAUGAAGAGAGAAACUUCUCAAUUUGUCAAAAUGCAUUUUAUAAAUUAGGUUAACAUGAUUGAUUAUUCCAGGCCAAAAUUUCUCUUGUAGCAUUGAACUGAAUUUCAAUUAUAUCUCUCCUCACUUUAUUGUGCCUUCAUACACCUCUUUCAUGUCUGGAUACUAACCUCUGGAGAAAUAUGAGGUAAUUUAAAAAUAAAAUUGGACUUAUGCCUUCACAAAAUAGAAACUAUUUUGUGUACC